rnacentral:rRNA from 1 species
AGAGUUUGAUCAUGGCUCAGGAUGAACGCCGGCGGUGUGCCUAAUACAUGCAAGUCGUACGCACUGGCCCAACUGAUUGAUGGUGCUUGCACCUGAUUGACGAUGGAUCACCAGUGAGUGGCGGACGGGUGAGUAACACGUAGGUAACCUGCCCCGGAGCGGGGGAUAACAUUUGGAAACAGAUGCUAAUACCGCAUAACAACAAAAGCCACAUGGCUUUUGUUUGAAAGAUGGCUUUGGCUAUCACUCUGGGAUGGACCUGCGGUGCAUUAGCUAGUUGGUAAGGUAACGGCUUACCAAGGCGAUGAUGCAUAGCCGAGUUGAGAGACCGAUCGGCCACAAUGGAACUGAGACACGGUCCAUACUCCUACGGGAGGCAGCAGUAGGGAAUCUUCCACAAUGGGCGCAAGCCUGAUGGAGCAACACCGCGUGAGUGAAGAAGGGUUUCGGCUCGUAAAGCUCUGUUGUUGGAGAAGAACGUGCAUGAGAGUAACUGUUCACGCAGUGACGGUAUCCAACCAGAAAGUCACGGCUAACUACGUGCCAGCAGCCGCGGUAAUACGUAGGUGGCAAGCGUUAUCCGGAUUUAUUGGGCGUAAAGCGAGCGCAGGCGGUUGCUUAGGUCUGAUGUGAAAGCCUUCGGCUUAACCGAAGAAGUGCAUCGGAAACCGGGCAACUUGAGUGCAGAAGAGGACAGUGGAACUCCAUGUGUAGCGGUGGAAUGCGUAGAUAUAUGGAAGAACACCAGUGGCGAAGGCGGCUGUCUGGUCUGCAACUGACGCUGAGGCUCGAAAGCAUGGGUAGCGAACAGGAUUAGAUACCCUGGUAGUCCAUGCCGUAAACGAUGAGUGCUAGGUGUUGGAGGGUUUCCGCCCUUCAGUGCCGGAGCUAACGCAUUAAGCACUCCGCCUGGGGAGUA